rfam:Populus trichocarpa scaffold_10_contig_6, whole genome shotgun sequence.
UAAUCUAUUUGGAGCAGAUCCUCAUCUAAUUAUGGCAGACCCACAUCUAACUACUCAGAAUCACUAGUUAUCACAAGCCCAACUCCAUCAACCUUUUAUUGAAAAAUAUUUUUUUACAAAGUGUGUAAACAACAUUUUCCCAUAGAGUUGAUU